UAUAGCCCAGGAACAUCUCCCACGAGGACAGGAAGGAUGUAAGAGCAUGAGCAAGCCAGUGACUCAGCCCUUGUAAUAGGGUCGGAGGCAGAGAAUCCCAGUGGAGAGAGGGGAGCCGGCCAAGCAGAGACAGCAAGGGGGGUUUGUCACUCCAGUGCUUUGCCGUUCACCUUCGCACCCCUGGGCCAGACUACACUCAAUCAUAGGACCUACUGAAGAGAUGAGUCUUCAGUAAAGACUUAAAGGUUGAGUCUGCGUCUCUCACAUGGAUAGUCAGACCAUUCUAUAAAAAUGGAGAUCUAUAAGAGAAAGCCCUGCCUCCAGCAGUUUGCUUAGAAAUUAUAGGGACAGUAAGGAGGCCUGUGUCUUGAGACUGUAGCGUGUAGGUAUGUACGGCAGGACCAAAUCAGAAAAGGAGCAAAUCCAUGUAAUGCUUUGUAGGUUAGAAGUGAAACCGUUGCUGGUGAAACCAUUUCUGGAGCCAUUUCUUCACUCUGGGAGAAGCAACCUCUUCUCUGGGAGUGUAGAGAAGCCAAAUACAUUUGUAGCCAGUUGUGAGGACCUGGACCUCGGCCUCUCCCUCAGAGGAGAUUUUGGCGUCUGGCAUGACUUGAACAACACAGAAAGCAGAUACUGCCAGAUGAAAACUUUUGCUGAAAAUCAGCAAAUGAAAGAACAUGGUCAUAGGAAGAAGAGGAUGAACCCUACACAUAGAUCCAACCCCAGAGGUCCUGUUCUGUCUGACAACAAAACGAGGUGACAUGACACCAGAGAUACACUUCCUACAGUUAUGAGGACUACAGCUGCCUGAGAAUGAUGUGUCCUUGAGAUCAUGUCUAAGAGAUGUCUGAUGUUCUUGCAGGCUCCACAAAUCUACACCUUUAAAAAUGUAAUUGACAGCAGAACACACUACUUGUUUGGUAAUAGCUCUC